CUGAACUGAACUGAAGCCCACUGUGCUCCUUUCCCCGUGGGAGUCUAGUGUGCAGUAGCUGCAAACAGCAGCCUCCUCUGUAGUUUUUGCAGCCUGCUGCCUGUAUGGGUUGCUCUAAGGGACCCUGCAGACAGCC
rnacentral:snoRNA from 1 species